UGGGGAAUCUUAGACAAUGGGGGAAACCCUGAUCUAGCCAUGCCGCGUGAGCGAUGAAGGCCUUAGGGUUGUAAAGCUCUUUCAGCUGGGAAGAUAAUGACGGUACCAGCAGAAGAAGCCCCGGCUAACUCCGUGCCAGCAGCCGCGGUAAUACGGAGGGGGCUAGCGUUGUUCGGAAUUACUGGGCGUAAAGCGCACGUAGGCGGAUUAGUCAGUCAGAGGUGAAAUCCCAGGGCUCAACCCUGGAACUGCCUUUGAUACUGCUAGUCUUGAGGUCGAGAGAGGUGAGUGGAAUUCCGAGUGUAGAGGUGAAAUUCGUAGAUAUUCGGAGGAACACCAGUGGCGAAGGCGGCUCACUGGCUCGAUACUGACGCUGAGGUGCGAAAGCGUGGGGAGCAAAACAGGAUUAGAUACCCUGGUAGUCCACGCCGUAAACGAUGAAUGCCAGUCGUCGGGUUGCAUGCAAUUCGGUGACACACCUAACGGAUUAAGCAUUCCGCCUGGGGAGUACGGUCGCAAGAUUAAAACUCAAAUGAAUUGAC
rnacentral:rRNA from 1 species